UUUUUUCUCUCUCUAAUUCAUUCCUUCUUUUGGCUCUCACUUGCAUCCUCGUCUCUUUCUUCCUCCGUGAACACCAAACAAGUCACAGAGCAUCACUACACACCAGUCCUCACCCACCAUGACAAUCUGGAACUUCAUUGAUGAUGAUGAGUUAGGCAUGCUGAUGAGGGUGUUCGGUUCUGUCUCCUUUUUCGAGGAAGCCUCUUUUGAGGAAGCUAACGAAGUCAUCACAAAAUUGAAGGAUGUUAUUGAUCAGUAUGUUUUGUAAUCAUUGUUAUUGAUUAAUGAUAACAAGUGUAGGAAAUUUUUUAUUUUGUGUAAAUUUGUGGUUUCAAUUUCAGUUUAGAAGGUCUUUGUUUUGGUUUUAUUGUAGAAUUGCGGUUAUCUAAAGACUUUAUUUUUAUGCUCUUCGUGCAGAUUUUUUUUGGGUUGAUAAUAGUCAAAGUAAUUUAAACUAGGUUCCAAUCAAUUGGGUUUGUCUAGUGGCACACUAUCAAUGAUUAUGAAAGUUUUAAUCUUUUUCAUGUUGAUAGUGUAAAUGAUAUUAUCAGAGGAUUGAAAUUAAAUUCUAGAUGUAAAUGUAAAAUCUCUGUUUUUACAAUAUGGAAACUCAGCCAAGUGAAGACAGGAUUAAUGCGUGAAGGGUUGUCAUUGUAGGCGAGCACAAAUGAGUUUUCCGGUGAUGUUAUGGCUUCUUUGUGUUCAGGGAAGAAGAAAGAGAGGAGGGUGCAAGUGAGAGAGUGAGAAAUAAGAGAUGAAUGGGAGAGAGAAAUUUUGUAUUUAUUUAUUUAUAAUGACAUGCAAACUUUUGAUUGGAU
rnacentral:lncRNA from 1 species